rnacentral:misc_RNA from 1 species
AGCAGCCGCGGUAAUUCCAGCUCCAAUAGCGUAUAUUAAAGUUGUUGCAGUUAAAAAGCUCGUAGUUGAAUUUCGGGAUCAAUAUAUCGGUCGUGCCUUGGUACGUACUGGUAUCAUUGGUUUCUCCUUUCUGACGAACCAUGAUGUCAUUAAUUUGGUGUUAUGGGAAGUUAGAACUGUUACUUUGAAAAAAUUAGAGUGUUUAAAGCAGGCUUUGGCUUGAAUACAUUAGCAUGGAAUAAUGAAAUAGGACGUUCGAACCUAUUUUGUUGGUUUCUAGGAUCAACGUAAUGAUUAAUAGGGAUAGUCGGGGGCAUUAGUAUUCAAUUGUCAGAGGUGAAAUUCUUGGAUUUAUUGAAGACUAACUACUGCGAAAGCAUUUGCCAAGGAUGUUUUCAUUAAUCAAGAACGAAAGUUAGGGGAUCGAAGACGAUCAGAUACCGUCGUAGUCUUAACCAUAAACUAUGCCGACUA